rnacentral:rRNA from 1 species
AUUGAACGCUGGCGGCAGGCUUAACACAUGCAAGUCGAACGAGUGGCGGACGGGUGAGUAAUGCUUGGGAAUCCAGCUUCUGGAUGGGGGUAACUACGGGAAACCGUAGCUAAUACCCCGUACCAUAGGAUGAGCCCAAGUGGGAUUAGGGAGUUGGUGCGGUAAAGGCUCACCAAGCCGACGAUCCCUAGCUGGUCUGAGCGGAUGACCAUCCACACUGGGACUGAGACACGGCCCGAACUCCUACGGGAGGCAGCAGUGGGGAAUAUGGCGGAAUGGGGGCAACCUGACGCAGCCAAGCCGCGUGAAUGAAGAAGACCUGCGGAUUGUAAAGUUCUUUCGGUAGCGAGGCGUUAACUACAGAAGAAGCACCGGCUAACUCCGUGCCAGCCGCCGCGGUAAUUC